GAUGCACGGUGUAUGUGAAUGGAGAAGCAGUGGUAGUUUUUCUCUCGUAUUUAGCUUGCAUUAACGGUCUCUUUGUAACGUAAUCACUACGUUUGUGAUGUUAAAACACUGUUAAGAGUAUCUGUCUUAAAUUGUAUCCCUGUUAUAAGCAUAUUUUCCUUGAAAGUGGUAAGUUACUUUUAACCGUGUUUCGUUUGCACGUGUAUCUUUCCAUGCAGGAAUGAGAGAGUAGGCCUUCUGAUGUCUGCAUUUACUAAUAUUGCCUCCAGCUACUCUGUUUAAGGAAUACAUUCUUCAUCCCAAUCGUGGUGUCGAUGUGUUUAUGUGGUGUCCGGAGAUUACCACUUGAAGUCUGCUACACUGGCGUUGAUUAAGUCCCUGCCGUCACUACUAUGGAUUAGAUAGCAUCCACUGUGCUUAUAAGCCGGACUGUGGGUACACUUCUCAUGAAAACAGUGCAUCUGUAUUAGACGGAGAUUAUCGUAUGAUGUGCAGUUGGACAGAUUGGUGCAGCACGACAACGAUAAUGCAUCGUCAUCUGAGGAAAUCAUAAGAGGAGGAAUUGCACCCUCUGGCCUCACUGCAGGAAGGCACCGAGCUCUUUCUGGGCAUCUGAGAACGUGUGUGCAUGUGUGGAAGAAGAUUCAGGACCUGUUUGGAGAUGGUGAUCCAAUUGUCAGUGGAAAUGAUUAGGAUGGGCUUGGUGGUGAGGAACAUAUCUCCACUCCUUCCUGCAGCAUCUUCUGUUCCUCAGAGCUCCUCGAGAUGCUGACAGCAAGCCACAUUUUGAGCCAGAAACGUAGCCAGCAUCUGGAAAGUGGUCUGUGCUUGGAGCUGUAAUUCUCAACAAUCAAACCUGAGAUCAUUCAGGUAGGAAAAACUGCAAGAAUUGUCUCGUCGUCAAGCGUGGAUGUUCACAAUGUCUCACCUGACGUGAAUCGGCCUAUACAGAUCCAUGUGCAUGUGUACCACGUAUUUGUUGAAUAAAGAAAUAAAAAAACCUUUAGGACAUCGUUCUCAUUUUGUAUAUUGACACAUCAUAACUUUGCUCCUUGUUUGUUAUAUUAGUCACCCUAACUGUUCAAAGACACACUAACUUUAUUAAACUGAAUGUAUAUUUAACAUUUUUAUACUGGUAUUCGUUUUUUCCACCACCUUUGUUUGCUUUGAGAAACAAGUUUAAUGAAUGUUUGAACUCUAAAAGAAUCCUUUAAGCAUGUAUUUUCUAUUUGUGCUUUAGUUUUGUAUUUACAUCUCCAUGUUU